rnacentral:lncRNA from 10 species
UUCACUACACCAGAGGAGACAAAGGAAGCACGUUGCUGUUAUUGCUGUUCAUGGCCUUCUUCCAACAGUAAGGGAAGCUAGUUUGAAGAUAAACUGUACAAAGGAAAGUAAAACAAGAGAAGUGCAGCGAAAUGGUGCCGGAGCCGUGAUGCAGCUACAACCUAGAGUUCUCACAAUCUCUUAAUUUCCUGCUGUCGGCGAUAAAUGUGAUCAUUUUGGCCGAUUUGGUUCAGUUUUUCUGUUCCGUGAAGCUGAAAGCAUCCUGACACAGGUAGCUGGACAGUACUGGACCCAUCACAAUUUCAAUACUGGGAAGAGAAAAGCCAGUCCUCUGGGGAAAGAUGAAGCACUGGACCUACAAACUAACUACUUUCAACCCCUGGAUGAAUCUAGGAGCAGAUUAGUCCCGAUAUCAAGGCAAUGUCAAGAGUGAAGGGGAGGAUCAAGAUUUUUUUUGAGUGAUUGUUUCCUGGAAGGAGUAUUAAAGAGAGGCACAGAAGAAUGCUUCUGCAUAGGACAUGAAAACAUACUUGGUAAUCAGCGAUCAUGUGGUAGCAGCCACACUGUUUAAGAUCAUGGAUCAGAAAUGUCUUUAAGAUGUCAAACAAAUGAAAAACAAAAACAAACAUUUCAUGGUCAUGGACAGGAAAAUCAAUAUUGUUAAAAUGGCCAUACACCCCAAAGCAAUUUAUACAUUCAGUGCUAUUCCUACCAAUGGCAUUUCUCACGGAAUUAGGAAACACAAUUUUAAAAUUCAUAUGGUACCAAACAAGAGCCUGAAUAACCAAAGCAAUCCUAAGCAAAAAGAAGAAAGCUGAAAGUAUCACACUACCCAACUUCAAACUAUACUACAAGACUACAGUAACCAAAACAGCAUGGUACUGUUACAGAACUAGACACAUAGACCAAUGGAACAGAACAGGGAAUUAACUCCCUAUUCAAUAAAUGGUG